AACCCUUGUCCUUAGUUACCAGCACGUUAUGGUGGGCACUCUAAGGAGACUGCCGGUGGACAAAACCGGAGGAAGGUGGGGAUGACGUCAAGUCAUCAUGGCCCUUACGGCCUGGGCUACACACGUGCUACAAUGGUCGGUACAAAAGGGGUUGCCAAGCCGCGAGGUGGAGCUAAUCCCAUAAAACCGAUCGUAGUCCGGAUCGCAGUCUGCAACUCGACUGCGUGAAGUCGGAAUCGCUAGUAAUCGUGAAUCAGAAUGUCCACGGUCGAAUACGUUCCCGGGCCUU
rnacentral:rRNA from 1 species